CAGCAGCCGCGGUAAUACGUAGGGUGCAAGCGUUAAUCGGAAUUACUGGGCGUAAAGCGUGCGCAGGCGGUUAUAUAAGACAGAUGUGAAAUCCCCGGGCUCAACCUGGGAACUGCAUUUGUGACUGUAUAGCUAGAGUACGGCAGAGGGGGAUGGAAUUCCGCGUGUAGCAGUGAAAUGCGUAGAUAUGCGGAGGAACACCGAUGGCAAAGGCAAUCCCCUGGGCCUGUACUGACGCUCAUGCACGAAAGCGUGGGGAGCAAACAGGAUUAGAUACCCCCGUAGUCCCUGUCUCUUAUAC
rnacentral:rRNA from 1 species